AUUGAACGCUGGCGGCAGGCCUAACACAUGCAAGUCGAGCGGAUGAAGGGAGCUUGCUCCUGGAUUCAGCGGCGGACGGGUGAGUAAUGCCUAGGAAUCUGCCUGGUAGUGGGGGAUAACGUCCGGAAACGGGCGCUAAUACCGCAUACGUCCUGAGGGAGAAAGUGGGGGAUCUUCGGACCUCACGCUAUCAGAUGAGCCUAGGUCGGAUUAGCUAGUUGGUGGGGUAAAGGCCUACCAAGGCGACGAUCCGUAACUGGUCUGAGAGGAUGAUCAGUCACAGGGGAAUGGAGACGCGUCCAAGUCCCCGAGGGGGGGCAGCGUGGGGAAAUUUGGCACAAGGGGGAAAAGCCUGACCAACCAUGGCGGGGGGGGAGAAAAGGGUCUUGGGUUUGAAAAGCAUUUUAAGUGGGGAGGAGGGAAAGUAAUUUAAUCCUUUCCUUUUUGGCGUUUACCAAAAAAAAAGGCCCCGGCUAACUUGGGC
rnacentral:rRNA from 1 species